UUAAUUUCUGUCCUCAUGUCAGCGUUUUAUAUCAAUUAUUUGGAAACUGUUCUAUAUAUAAGGUAAAAUAUAAUGUGUAAAAUUGACGAAACGAAAUUGUGCGAAUAUUUCAGACCAAGACAAGAUCAAACGCGAGCCACAACUGUUUCUGCCAGUGAGACCGGACACGUUAUUCGCGCCCUACGAUAUUCAUAAGCAGGGGCUGCAGACGAACAGAUGCAGCGUAAGUCAUUUCAAAAAUGAUAUAUCAUAGUCCAGUAAAAUAGUAUCUGAAAAUGGCAAAACGGAUAGACAAGCCAAUUUUUUGAGGGUGAGUAGAAGGUCAUAGGAGAUGCCCGAAUUCACAAAGUUCCAACAAAAUUUCCCUGUGCGUCGGCGGCCAUCUUCAAAAUAGGGCUGUCAAGGAAAGAAAGUUACAACCAAAAAAAUGCCGUCAAUUUGGGGUUGAACAUUUUUAUUGACAAUUAUAUUGCCCCCUGUUAGUUUUAUCAAAAAAAUGUUCAAAUAAAACUUGUAGAGGACUCACUUCUCUACAAUUUUUGAAUGUCUGCAAGAUUUGACGUGAAUGAUUAGAGCCUGGAGAUCGCGCGAUAUGAUUUAUUCUAAAAUGUUACCUUAUGCAAUGGUCUUAUUUUUAUAAUGGAAAGGUGUAUCGUGACGUCAAUAUAUUACUUACUCGGAAUCGGGAGACCGAACAGAGUUUAGCCGCAAAUAAUCAACGAUGCAUUCGAAUCCGCAGUUAGCAUGCAAUUUCCUUGCGAAACAUUUAUCUGCCAUUAUAUUCUCGUGACGUAAACAGUGUUAAACCCCGCUAGGUUUAUACGCCACAUAGAUUUAUACGUCGCAUUAAGAUUAAUCUCAUUAAGAUCUAUUUUGGAUGUCUUUGUGUCUCUCGUAUUGUUUUCAGAAAAAGAAAAAACUUCUUCUGUAGAAUUUUUCUUCUCGCACAAAACAUUUCAAAUAUAUUUGAAAUUAAUUCAUUAAUUCACUUUCUUAGUAAAAUUACUUUUUCUUUUACUUACUUAAAAAAAUAAAAUUAUUUGAAGAAAUUUAAUUUGGAGACUGCAGAAAGAUAGUUUGAUUUAAUCUAAAAGUUUAAAGAAAAUAUCUAAUUUGUUUUUAAAUACCAUAAAAAAACAUGGUCUUUCUUUUACACAUAUUCUGUUAAUUAUAAAAAGGUAGAUAUUUAAAAAAGUAUUUUAUUUGCAUGUGGAAGAGAUAUCCACAUGCGAAUUUGUAAUAUGGUAAUAAAGUGACGAUAUUUGUUUCAAUAGCAAGUAACUCUGCUGUGACAAAACAUGUUUACGAGCUGAAUAACAACUUCUUUUUCUUCCGAUAUUAUAAUAGUUUUAUUGAUUCCUCGAUUCCGAGUAAGUAAUAUUCGUUCGGAAAUACCUCGUCAAAUGAUUCUUUCCUGACAUACUCGAGAACGGUUGCAUAAUGCUGGGUUAUUUCUGUUCGAGCGCGCGGAAUGCAUAAAAUCGCUUAUUCUUGUCUAUGCGCUCUUAUAUUACCCAACAAAAUAAUGCACAUUUCAAUUGAGCGUUACGAUCUACAAAAACUCUGCGCGCAUCUUCAAUAAGGCUCAUGUAUUUCUCGUGCGAUUUAAUGAAAGUAGAUAAAACGUUCAACGUAAGUUUCAACAAAAAUAAACAAAUAUUUUAUCGCAAUAAUUCACGCGAAAUGUAGAAAGACAACGUCAACAUAGGAUAAUAAAUUCAUAUUAUAUAAUACAUCAACAACAAAGAAAAUUUAAGGAAAUAAAUAAUUAUUUUUUUAUAGUUUCCCGAUAUCAGAUUUUGGUUUCGAAAGUGUUCUAUUACGUCAUCAUAAUUUGAUAAACAUGAAAUCAAAGUUGUAAAAAAAGGAUUAGUUUGAUAUAGUUACAGCUCAAAAUUAAGAAUAUUUUAUUAUAAUUUUUAAGCUUAAAAUGGUUAUAAAGAUCAAGAUUAAUAAAAUUUUUGUGUACCGAAUAUUGGGUCAUACCGCAUAAAGAUUGUAAUUAUUUACCUUGUAAUUAACAUUGAAUUUGUAUUCAAUAACUUGUAUAUAUAUAAAGCUUUAUACUUUAUAAUUUAUAUUAAAUUCUUCUAUAAAUG